ACAUGCAAGUCGAACGAUGAUCCCAGCUUGCUGGGGGAUUAGUGGCGAACGGGUGAGUAACACGUGAGUAACCUGCCCUUAACUCUGGGAUAAGCCUGGGAAACUGGGUCUAAUACCGGAUAUGACUCCUCAUCGCAUGGUGGGGGGUGGAAAGCUUUAUUGUGGUUUUGGAUGGACUCGCGGCCUAUCAGCUUGUUGGUGAGGUAAUGGCUCACCAAGGCGACGACGGGUAGCCGGCCUGAGAGGGUGACCGGCCACACUGGGACUGAGACACGGCCCAGACUCCUACGGGAGGCAGCAGUGGGGAAUAUUGCACAAUGGGCGAAAGCCUGAUGCAGCGACGCCGCGUGAGGGAUGACGGCCUUCGGGUUGUAAACCUCUUUCAGUAGGGAAGAAGCGAAAGUGACGGUACCUGCAGAAGAAGCGCCGGCUAACUACGUGCCAGCAGCCGCGGUAAUACGUAGGGCGCAAGCGUUAUCCGGAAUUAUUGGGCGUAAAGAGCUCGUAGGCGGUUUGUCGCGUCUGCCGUGAAAGUCCGGGGCUCAACUCCGGAUCUGCGGUGGGUACGGGCAGACUAGAGUGAUGUAGGGGAGACUGGAAUUCCUGGUGUAGCGGUGAAAUGCGCAGAUAUCAGGAGGAACACCGAUGGCGAAGGCAGGUCUCUGGGCAUUAACUGACGCUGAGGAGCGAAAGCAUGGGGAGCGAACAGGAUUAGAUACCCUGGUAGUCCAUGCCGUAAACGUUGGGCACUAGGUGUGGGGGACAUUCCACGUUUUCCGCGCCGUAGCUAACGCAUUAAGUGCCCCGCCUGGGGAGUACGGCCGCAAGGCUAAAACUCAAAGGAAUUGACGGGGGCCCGCACAAGCGGCGGAGCAUGCGGAUUAAUUCGAUGCAACGCGAAGAACCUUACCAAGGCUUGACAUGAACCGGAAAGACCUGGAAACAGGUCCCCCGCUUGCGGUCGGUUUACAGGUGGUGCAUGGUUGUCGUCAGCUCGUGUCGUGAGAUGUUGGGUUAAGUCCCGCAACGAGCGCAACCCUCGUUCUAUGUUGCCAGCGCGUGAUGGCGGGGACUCAUAGGAGA
rnacentral:rRNA from 1 species